GUAGGUGGCAAGCGUUGUCCGGAAUUAUUGGGCGUAAAGCGCGCGCAGGCGGUCCUUUAAGUCUGAUGUGAAAGCCCACGGCUCAACCGUGGAGGGUCAUUGGAAACUGGGGGACUUGAGUACAGAAGAGGAAAGCGGAAUUCCACGUGUAGCGGUGAAAUGCGUAGAGAUGUGGAGGAACACCAGUGGCGAAGGCGGCUUUCUGGUCUGUAACCGACGCUGAGGCGCGAAAGCGUGGGGAGCAAACAGGGAUUAGAUACCCUGGUAGUCCACGCCGUAAACGAUGAGUGCUAAGUGUUAGGGGGUUUCCCGCCCCUUAGUGCUGCAGCUAACGCAUUAAGCACUCCGCCUGGGGAGUACGGCCGCAAGGCUG
rnacentral:rRNA from 1 species